CGGGGGGGGCAAGCGUUGUUCGGAAUUACUGGGCGUAAAGGGCUCGUAGGCGGCCAACUAAGUCGGACGUGAAAUCCCCAGGCUCAACCUGGGAACUGCGUCUGAUACUGGAUGGCUUGAAUCCGGGAGAGGGAUGCAGAAUUCCAGGUGUAGCGGUGAAAUGCGUAGAUAUCUGGAGGAAUACCGGUGGCGAAGGCGGCAUCCUGGACCGGCAUUGACGCUGAGGAGCGAAAGCCAGGGGAGCAAACGGG
rnacentral:rRNA from 1 species